rnacentral:lncRNA from 1 species
GUUUAGAAACAUUAAUAACCUUUCUUGUAAAUCAGCACACAGAUGAUAGAAGUACAUCAUAAAGCUGGAGAGAUUUCAAGAGAGAAUUUAUGGAAAAACAUGGAUUUUUGAGCAUUGAUACAAAAUCAGCCAAUUCUUGAUAUUUCCACCUUUCUGUCUUUCCCAUAUUUUAGUCUUAAUCUAUGGAAUUGCCCUUUUUUCUUUUGUAGGCAUUAGUCAAAAAUGUAAAAUAGUGAUUAAAAGAGAGAGAGCUCCUGGUAAAUUCCCCGAUUAAUGAGAAAGUUUGCCUGGCAUUCGGUGGAGGUCACUUUCAUUUGCUGUCUAAUAUUUUGUGAGAAUUGCAGAAGACAAGAGACAGGUUUCCCGUGAAAGCCACGUCUGCUGCUCCAGAGAUUCCCUGGCAGUGCUGUUCCAGGUGACUGAUCUUUCACUUCUCUCAUGAAUGGGACUGAGCUUGACAACUUUCUGUUCCCCAAGACUAUAGAAGUUGCAGUUCAUUAAUGUUUUAUUAUUAUUUUAUUUUUUUUUCCAAAGGUAGUUGCUCUGAUUUACAACCAAGAUUUAUUUAUUUAUUUAUUUAUUUAUUUAAUUAUUUUUUGAAGAGGCACCAUUUCACUCCAUGGCCAUUGGUUUCACACAGGUGCUUGGCAGAGCCUCCAGGAGAUCACACCUCUUGCGAUGCAGGACAGAAGCUCCCACACCCUGGACAUCCUCAGGACCUACCACAUCCACCAGGUGGCUUCUCCAGGGUAGACAUAGAUACGCGCAUGUCUGAAGACCAACAGAAGACCAGCUGGUGGGAUCGUAAAGACAACUUUCCUACAAAUGUUACAGGCACAAUACCCGGAGUAAGUAUUUACCUCCCCCCCUCCCCAAAAUGAUUCAACUUUAAACCACUCCAUCCUCAGGACUCCACAGCCAAGUACUAGACAUACAUGUGCAGCUGUAGUGUGGCCCUGUAGACAUUUUUGUACAUUUUUGUAUGUCAUUUGCUUCAGGACAGCUGGGAGAUCUAAUCCCAUAGAGAGAGAAUCAACAACAACUAAAUGGCAUCAAGGAGAGUGCAUCUCUCCCUCUCAUUUCCAUAUUAUCCCUUGGCACUUUGCUACACUCAAAAGACUUUCUGUGGUACCAAACACCCCAGUAUUUCUGAGAGCAGGGGUGGCUUUGCUGCAAGGUAGUAAGAAAAAUCAUGCAUUUUGAU